rnacentral:rRNA from 1 species
GAUGAACGCUAGCGGUGUGCCUAAUGCAUGCAAGUCGAACGGGAUCCUUGGAUUCGUCUGAGGUGAGAGUGGCGAACGGGUGAGUAACACGUAGGUGACCUGCCCUAGAGAGGGGGACAACCAGUGGAAACGCUGGCUAAUACCCCGGAUGUCAAUGAGAUUAGAAGGCAUUGACUAAAGUAGCGGAUAAAACUGCUGCGCUCUGGGAGGGGCCUGCGACCCAUCAGCUAGUUGGUAGGGUAACGGCCUACCAAGGCAGAGACGGGUAGGGGGCGUGAGAGCGUGGCCCCCCACACUGGUACUGACACACGGACCAGAUACCUACGGGUAGCAGCAGCAAGGAAUAUUGCGCAAUGGGCGAAAGCCUGACGCAGCAACACCGCGUGGAGGACGAAGGCCUUCGGGUUGUAAACCGCUUUUCAGGGUGAAGAGCAAGGACGGUAGCCCUGGAAGAAGUCUCGGCUAACUACGUGCCAGCAGCCGCGGUAAAACGUAGGAGGCGAGCGUUAUCCGGAUUUACUGGGUGUAAAGCGCGUGCAGGCGGUCGUGUAAGUCGUGUGUGAAAGCGCUCAGGCUCAACCGGGCGAGGUCAUGCGAAACUGCAGGACUGGAGGUAGGUAGAGGCGUGUGGAAUUCCGGGUGUAGUGGUGAAAUGCGUAGAGAUCCGGAGGAACACCAGUGGCGAAGGCGACACGCUGGACCUGACCUGACGCUCAGACGCGAAAGCAUGGGGAGCGAACGGGAUUAGAAACCCCGGUAGUCCAUGCCGUAAACGAUGUGUACUAAGUGUUGCGGUGUCAAAGCUGCAGUGCUGAAGCUAACGUGAUAAGUACACCACCUGGGGAGUACGGUCGCAAGGCUAAAACUCAAAGGAAUUGACGGGGACCCGCACAAGCAGCGGAGCGUGUGGUUUAAUUCGAGGCUACACGAAGAACCUUACCAGGGCUUGACAUAUAACUGGUAGUGAAGCGAAAGCGGAACGACCCUUCGGGGAGGUUAUACAGGUGCUGCAUGGCUGUCGUCAGCUCGUGCCGUGAGGUGUUAGGUUAAGUCCUGUAACGAGCGCAACCCUCGUCGUUAGUUACAAGUGUCUAACGAGACUGCCGGUGAUAAGCCGGAGGAAGGUGGGGAUGACGUCAAGUCAGCAUGGCCUUUAUGUCCUGGGCUACACACACGCUACAAUGGCCGGUACAAUGGGCAGCCAAGCCGCGAGGCGGAGCCAAUCCCGAAAAGCCGGUCUCAGUUCGGAUUGUAGGCUGCAACUCGCCUGCAUGAAGUCGGAGUUGCUAGUAACCGCGCGUCGGCAACAGUGCGGUGAAUACGUUCCCGGGUCUU